CCUACGGGUGGCAGCAGUGAGGAAUAUUGGUCAAUGGAGGCAACUCUGAACCAGCCAAGUAGCGUGAAGGAUGACUGCCCUAUGGGUUGUAAACUUCUUUUAUGCGGGGAUAAACUGAGUCACGUGUGGCUUUUUUCAGGUACCGUAUGAAUAAGGACCGGCUAAUUCCGUGCCAGCAGCCGCGGUAAUACGGAAGCUCCGGGCGUUAUCCGGAUUUAUUGGGUUUAAAGGGAGCGUAGGGGGCUUCUUAAGUGAGUUGUGAAAGGUUGGGGCUCAACCGUAGAACUGCAGGUGACACUGGGAGGCUUGAGUACAGUAGAGGUAGGCGGAAGUCGUGGUGUAGCGGUGAAAUGCUUAGAUAUCACGAAGAACUCCGAUUGCGAAGGCAGCUUACUG
rnacentral:rRNA from 1 species